rnacentral:lncRNA from 1 species
AAUGAGAAGAUAAAAAUCCAGGUUAUCAUUAGCCACAUUCACUGGUCAAGAAAAAGGCCUUGCAGAACACAGCUGAGCAGAACCACACAGAAGUGGAAGAAGCAAAGAGGUUUCCAGAAGAAUAGGAAGGUCGGCAGAGAGUAUCCAAAUUAUUGCCCCAUGCUGCGAGAUCCCUGCUCCUAGGAAAGCCAAGGUCUGCCUUCCAAUGUGCAAUUCUAGCUUAAUAGGGAAGUUAUAUCACUGUUGACAGUCUUUUCCUUUCUUAAUAAAACUUAGGAGUUAUCCCAUAAGGAAUAUUCAUUUUCCUUCAGACAUGAAGUGACCAUUAAGAUGCGCCAGUAAAGAAUCCAUGGCCUUUAGUGUCUGGCCCUAUUUCUUCUAGUUCAAGAAUUUUAAGAAAAAAUAUUGCGAUAAAAGGUAUAUUUUUAUUAGCUAUAAA